UAAUGUCAGUUAUCCUUGUGAUAAAUCGCCAGAGUUAAUUUGAAUAGACAACUUUUAAAGUAAGGAAAGAAUGACACCUUCAUGCAACAACAUUCGUUUGCUGUGCUUUGAUUCACUUACGCUAAAUUAAUGGCUCUGAAUAAUGACCAACUUCUAAGAAUCUGGCAAGGAGUAUUCUAGUGAUUUGCCAUUACUUAGUAGGCAUAUGAUAAUUUUAAACUACAAAAACAUAAACAGUAUUUUUAAUGAUUAAGCGACUGUGUUCUCGGAAACAAAAGAGUCCUACAGAGUGACACUGAACUAGAAAAACAAAUCAUGUUAUAAAAGGGAAGUAACUUUUAUUGUGACACUUUGCAAUCAUCUCUGCCUGUGGUCCCAUCUAGGAAAUAGGCCACCAGCGAGCUUAUUCCAGGCAUCUCUCCAACUGUCUCCAUGUCUUGACCAUCUGCUUCCUAAUCUAACAGUUAACAAUAGUUACAUAAUAUCUUCAAUGAAACUCACACAUUCAAAUAGAAAAGAAUUACAAGCACCACUGAGUAAUUACCUUCUCCAUUAUGUCACGCUCAUUGAUGUCAGACAACUCUGAAGCAUAAACAGUCACAUGAGCUGGACAGAAGAUCUCUUCUGCUGUACCUUUGUGUGUAGAUAUUUUAGCCUUAGCCAUUGGCUUGACUUUAGUACCUACCC